UGCAAGUCGAGCGGAAACGAAGAGGUGCUUGCACCUCUGGCGUCGAGCGGCGGACGGGUGAGUAAUGCUUGGGAAUAUGCCUUAUGGUGGGGGACAACAGUUGGAAACGACUGCUAAUACCGCAUGAUGUCUACGGACCAAAGUGGGGGACCUUCGGGCCUCACGCCAUAAGAUUAGCCCAAGUGGGAUUAGCUAGUUGGUGAGGUAAUGGCUCACCAAGGCGACGAUCCCUAGCUGGUUUGAGAGGAUGAUCAGCCACACUGGGACUGAGACACGGCCCAGACUCCUACGGGAGGCAGCAGUGGGGAAUAUUGCACAAUGGGCGCAAGCCUGAUGCAGCCAUGCCGCGUGUGUGAAGAAGGCCUUCGGGUUGUAAAGCACUUUCAGUAAGGAGGAAAGGUUAAGUGUUAAUAGCACUUAGCUGUGACGUUACUUACAGAAGAAGCGCCGGCUAACUCCGUGCCAGCAGCCGCGGUAAUACGGAGGGUGCGAGCGUUAAUCGGAAUUACUGGGCGUAAAGCGUACGCAGGCGGUUUGUUAAGCGAGAUGUGAAAGCCCCGGGCUC
rnacentral:rRNA from 1 species